CGAAGCUUGGAGAAGUUGUGGAAUUAGUUCGAACGAUUUUAUUUUCGAAAACGAACGUUUUUAGGGGGUCAACAAAGUUGACUUUUUAUACGUUCAAAAUUUGGGAAAACUUCCUUCAUGAAAGUUGUAGAGCUCGUCGAUACGAGUUCGUGGACAUGUGGAACGCAUUAUUCGGAGUUCGUAUGAAUAAGUUAUGAAUAUUUGAAAAUUGGGAAUUUUCUAUAAAUAUCAAAAAAAAAAUGUUGAUUUUUCAUUAAGGACGAAAACAUGUUGAAAUUGCGGAACAGUCCCCGCGUUUUCUCUGUUUUCCCCUCAGACCCGGCGGGUCGAGCUCGACCCGACCCGGCUUUUUCACCCCCCUCCAGCCUCCUCCGUCCCCGGACCCGGGCCUCCCUGGGAUCGCCGGCCCACGACGAGCCUCCCUCCGGUGUCGCCUCGCCCCGUCGCUGCUCCCAGACCCGGAUCGAAGAAGCCAGCCAAGAGGAAUCCGACCCGACCGGAAUUCCAUUUUUCCGGCGUUGCAUGGGCCGAUCGUUCCCAUUUUCGUGAUCUCCUCCUCCCCCUGAUCAUCCCCAUAUAGGCCUUGCUUGACGAUUUGGAGUGUGGAGUGAAAGAUCACGAGUUGAAGAUUUCGACGUCCCUGAUUCAAUCUGGAAUCUGAUCAGACGCACGAGAUUAAUCCAACUUCAACGCUUGAUCUAGGACGAUCUAGGCCGAACCAGGCUUAGCUCCAGGUGAUUGACGGUUUGAGUUGGUGGACGAUUGUGGAUCGUAUUUUGAGCUGAAUUUAAGACGCAGCGGGAUUAUCGAGCGGGUAAUCCUACAGGACGGGAGAACCAGGACGGUGAUCGUGCGGUUAGAGCAAUUGUUAGAGUUUUACAGCAAUUGUAAGUUGUGAGGUGUGUUAUGCUCAUUUAGAGCUUUACAAUAUUGCUUGUGAGAGUGAAUUGUAAUAAUGAACUCGAGGUUUCGAGAUUUGGAGUUUGUGUACCUUGUGGUGAGAUUAUAUUGAGAAAAAAAUUCAGAACGUUUAUUUAAUUAAGUGGUUUAAUUCAUGUUUCGGAUUUGAAUUUAUUA